AAAGAAAGAAGCAUCUGAUAAACCCCAGACAUCCUGGUGCCAAUUUGCGUCUCUCCCUUUCUGGCCUGUGCAGAGCUCAGAGACAGCGUCUAAGAGGGCGGCUGACAAUCUGCCUCAAACACAAACACAUGACAAAUAUAGUUCUGCAGUGAAGACUUUAGCCCCACGGGGAAAGCUGAGACUCAGGAGCCUGAUGGCAUAAACAAGGCGAAAGGCUUGGUAGCAAAUCAGAAGACUUGUUUUUGGAAGCUGAAAACUUACUUCGGCAACAACAGUCCUCCAUGGCUCCCUGUUUGUGCUCUUGCUGGCCAGGCCUGGGAAGCCCUCUUGGGGCCUCUGAGGCUUGUAACCAGCCCUGCUUAGAUAAUCCUUACAGCAGCAGCUCUGCACAGUAUCAUUCUCCCCUGUACAAAUGAAGAGACGGAAGCUCGAAUUCUCACACGACACCCUUGCAGCACUUGAACCACUCCAGGAUUCUCUUCUGCUGGUCACCCAACUAUUCUCCCAGGAACUUACUGUGUCUCUGUUUGAUUGAGCCUGGGCAUGAGAUAAAACACGAGGUCAUCUGCAAUGGCACUGGUGCUGUGGCUGUAUCAGCAUGGCUCUGAUGUCCCUUCGGGGCAGGCAACAGUUCAGGGAGGACUUACAAGCAAGCUCUGAUGGAGUCUCGCUCUGUCGCCCAGGCUGGAGUGCAGUGGUGUGAUCUCGGCUCACUGAACUUCCCCUCCCCAGUUCAAGCGAUUCUCCUGCCUCAGCCUCCCUAGUAGCUGGGAUUACAGGCCCCCACCACCAUGCCUGGCUAAUUUUUAAAUAUUUUUAGUGGAGAUGGGGUUUCACCAUGUUGGCCAGGAUGGUCUUGAGCUCCUGACCUCAAGGGAUCCACCCGCCUCGGCCUCCCAAAGCACUGGGAUUACAGGUAUAAGCCACCGCGUCCGGCCUACUCCCACUUUGUUUCCAAGGAUAGUCAAGUGAAGGAGUGGGAGUGGAGAAGGAACAAAUAAAUCUGUAACUGCUUGUGAUCAAUUAGUUGUUAAUGUCAAUACCACUGCACUGAGAAGGCUGAGGUUCACAAAGGUGAAGUGAUUUAUCUAAGGUUUUAUGUCUGGUUUGUAGAGAGCCAGGACCCAAAUCCAGACCUUCCCCUACAGACCCUGACCCUUCCUCUGCCUUGUGCCGAUGCCUUGAGGGGACCCUUCCCAAGGUCCCCUGGGCCACACCCUGCUCCCCUGACCCACAGGGCUGCUGAGGUCACCUCUUUCAAAGGGUCUGCUUUGGUUCCACUUUGCCAUUAGAAUAAAGCUUUG
rnacentral:lncRNA from 10 species